GGCUCAGAACGAACGCUGGCGGCGUGCUUAACACAUGCAAGUCGAGUGCGCGGUUGUAGCAAUACAACUGGCGCACGGCGCACGGGCGCGUAACACGUGGGUAACCUGCCCUUUGGUGGGGAAUAACUCCGCGAAAGCGGAGCUAAUUCCGCAUAAGAUCCGCAAGGAUGAAAGCCGCAAGGCGCCGAUGGAGGGGCCCGCGCCCGAUUAGCUUGUUGGUAGGGUAACGGCCUACCAAGGCUUUGAUCGGUAGCUGGUCUGAGAGGAUGGCCAGCCACACUGGAACUGAGACACGGUCCAGACUCCUACGGGAGGCAGCAGUGGGGAAUCUUGCACAAUGGGCGAAAGCCUGAUGCAGCGACGCCGCGUGGGGGAUGAAGCUUCUCGGAGUGUAAACCCCUUUCGAUCCGGACGAAUGCCCGCAAGGGAUUGACGGUACGGAUAUAAGAAGCCCCGGCUAACUACGUGCCAGCAGCCGCGGUAAGACGUAGGGGGCCAGCGUUGUUCGGAAUUACUGGGUGUAAAGGGUUCGUAGGCGGUGUGGCAAGUUGGGAGUGAAAUCUCUGGGCUUAACCCAGAGGCUGCUUCCAAAACUGCUGUGCUUGAGUGUGAGAGAGGCUCGUGGAAUUGCAGGUGUAGCGGUGAAAUGCGUAGAUAUCUGCAGGAACACCCGUGGCGAAAGCGGCGAGCUGGAUCACUACUGACGCUGAGGAACGAAAGCUAGGGGAGCAAACAGGAUUAGAUACCCUGGUAGUCCUAGCCCUAAACGAUCAGGACUUGGGGUGCCACCCGUUCGGGUGUCGUCCCGGAGCUAACGCGUUAAGUCCUGCACCUGGGGAGUACGGUCGCAAGACU
rnacentral:rRNA from 1 species